GGCCUCCUCCUGCUUACCACAGGCUGUGUUCUUACACUGACUGUAUAGAAAGAGGAGGCAAAGGAACCCCGCCCCAUGUACACCCCAGCCUAGGCCCUCCUGCCUGGUCUGUAUUGUGAAUGGGGAGACAUGG